GGAGAAGUACUCAAGCAGGCUGAAGAGGACGGUUUGCUAAACCGUUAGGCUGGGCAACCGGUGCCCGGGUUCGAAUCCCGGCUUCUCCGCCA
rnacentral:tRNA from 1 species